UGCAAAAAAUAAAUAUAAAAUUUAUUAAAACACCCACAAUAUUUUAAAGAUACCAGGAGUAAUACAGUUCACAAACCCAGUUGUUUGUGUAAAUUAUAAUAAGAUACAAAUCAAAAAAGGAUACAUACUUGCAAUUUCUAGGCACCCUAAAUUAAAUUUACUGAAACACUGGGGCAGACAGGAGGGUAAGGAGGGGUAGAUCAGGAGGCAAACCAAUAAAGUGGGAAGAAAAAAUAUUAACAAAAAGGUAAAAAUUAUACAAAAUAAAAUUAUCAGCAUAAAUUUACUGUACUAAGAAUAUCUACAGUUUAAUAAUACACAUCCUAUUGCCUUGAGACAUUGCAAAAAUCUACCAUUCAUCCAUCAACCCCAGAUAAACUUCAUUUCAAGUAGCCACAGUUUACAAAGUCAAGACGGAAUAUUCAAGUAUGGUUGUUAAGUUCACCUCCAUUGGAAGCCAAGUAACCAAACAGGAAUUCAAAGAGAUAAAAAAUAAAACACAUCAAAAAGCUACAGGGCUCGUAGAUUCAGUCUAAUGCAUCAGUAUGCCACGUACGACCUGCCCUUGCUUCUUUAGUUAGAAUACAUGAAAAAGAAGUGACAUCACUCCUGCUUUUCUCCCACUUUUCCCCUUCAAAAGAAAAAAGAUAUUGGGACCAAGAAAAUUUGGAAUGUUCAAAUGAGCCAAUCAGCAAUUUAAUUUAAGUCCCCGUGUGAAGAGUGACGAGUUACCCCUGAAUGACAGGUAGUCAGAAGGAGAGAGCAAACACCUCCACCACAAAAAGCAUCCCUGAUAUCAGAACAGAAGCAAACGAGGAAGGAGGCCGAACCGCUCGCUGAUUCUUAGGCAAAAAGCAACUUCAGACCUUGCGUUUCUGUGCUGGGUCUCUGCUCAGGGGAGAAGCCUGUUACUUUGCUCUUGCCAGCAGCUCUGCAGGAGUUGGCUGGGGGGGGGGGCGGGCAGGCAGGGGCCCCGCGCUCGCUCGCGGGUGGGGGGCUUGUAUAACCCAUGCUGGGGGUAUGCACCUCAAAAAUGUUCGUUUGGUCCAGGGUAUGUUGAAAUUGGCCAUGUACUACAGCAGAUGCAGCUGGCUAAUCAAACCAGGUUUUGAGGGAGUCAUUUCCAAUGACAGCAACGAUGGCUGAGAAAGCUCAAUGAGAUGGGCAUAGGAAAUUCACAUUUUAUUCAAAAGCCAAGCUUAAAAAGAAAACAAAAUAAAGCCAACCAUGAUCCUUCCUUUAGGCAUUCUGCCAUUUUAACUGCUGAAGAAUGAAAAAUAAAAUGACCUCAGAUUCUUCAAGGUCAAAUAUGUCAUCAAAUGGACAACCUGCAGGUAUCAGGCCCUCAUGGAAUCUACUAUACUGAAGUUGUCAUGAUGUCCUGUGUUUGAGGUAUUUAAAAAAAUUAUUGUGACAGUGGAUGACACAAAAUGGAGCUUCCUGUUGAGUUUUUAAAACAUCAACUUCUGUGGACCCAAGGAGAAAUUUAGAAUAGCACCAACUGAAAAGCAGCCUCAGAGGCGUCGAGUGAGCAAAGCAAGCUCCUUUAGUCUGAACCAACGAGAGGCAGGAGCUACACUGGGGGACAACUGUCAGGAGCAAAGGAACGAGCCCUGCCCACCGUGCUCCCGGCUGGCACCCAGUGGGUGAGGAAGAAUCUCCAUGUGAUCUCCCGGCGUGUCCUCAGGACUCCCAGAGAUGUCCACUUAGCACCUGGGGCCACAGCAGAAAAACAUGUGCUCCUGGCUAUGAGAAUGACUGCCACGCUAGAAGAGGCAGGAGUACCCGACUCCCCUCCCUCAAAAACAAAACCCAAAUCCUCAGCCCCUUUUCCUCCUCUGGCCGAGAAGACAAGCGUGAACUCCAAGCACCUGCCAAGCCAGGCAGGCCCACUCCCACCAGGGUGAGGUGCGACUGCCUUCUUGACUUGCCUUGCUUCGUUUGGCCACCAAGGGAACAACAAACAAAACAAACUGUUCAGAGCAGAUUACAGCACGGUAAACAGAGGUCUAGGAAGACAGCACCAAAAGAGCGGGGAAAGAAAGCCAAGAGACUGGAGCCCACCUUGUUUUUGGUUGGUUGUGGUUUCAGAACGUUGAUAGCACCUCAGCAAGACAGGACCAGGGACAGUCACAUUAAAACACCAUAGCACCAUUUUAUUUAGACUAUUUCAAUUCAUAAAAAUGCUUCCUAGUCCAUGAAACACACUUCAGUAACAAAAGGAAAGAGAUUCCGGUUGAGGCACAUCAGGGAUAUCAUACAGUUUUCCACCAGCUUUGCCUUGGUUUGAGACCUCACAAAGGUUAAGCUUCAAGGAGAAAGUCUGGCUGGAUUUUUCACCAAAACCAGGUUACCAUCUACUCAUCACCAACCAUCCUAGCACAUCUACUGCUGUUGGAUACAAAGCAAUUAAGCUCUACUACUUCUUUCCUUGCCUUAGCGCUUUAGAAAAUCCCUUGCUCUGCAAGCUACUGUUUCAAAAAGAGGCUGGUGGAAGGGCCAAGAGGGGGCAGGAUAUGAUCUCUUUCCACAUGUACCACUGUCAUCUUGGUGGGAAGGCAAAGCAGAACCCACGAAACUGGGGUGUGGGAAACUCAGGCCCUGCUAAAAGCCAGACCCAACAACAAAAACUCCAAAAAUCCAUGCAACACCUUUAGUCAUGAUUAGAUGAUUUCUUGAGCUAGCACCAGUUAUUUUGUGAGAACCUGCUGCAAAACGAUUUUUAUUUUAAAAAAUCUCUUAGCACAGAACUUUGCAAGUACUUCCCUUGCACGCAACAGGCAGGGAAAACAAAAAGCAAAAAAGGAACCAAACGUUUGCACUGUGUGUGGAAGAUAUCCGUGGACAGGGCACACGGGGGAGAUGACUCUAAGACUCCAUCAUUUCUUGUUGCUAUAAUGACUCUUAAAACUUGGUCAUGCUGUUAGGUUCUUUAGUUGCAAUGGCUUUAUUUUUCUUCUCAUGAUAAAAAUGUCUGUUAAUCAUCUUUAGGACUUAAAAAAUGAUAGUGCCAGUAAAAAAUAAAAAUUUGAUUUUUCUUUUUAAGAAACCUUAAGCAGCAAGGGGAGGGAUAAAGAGCUGUGCAUAGUUACUUUUAAACACGUCUAAAGCAUGCUAAUUUUAAUGACAGAUUUGAGGUAGGUUAUACAUGUAGUGUGUAAAAAUCAGCAUGGGCUGAGCGCGGCAACAGCAAGCACCACCUAACUCUCAGAACACCAUUCAGAGGGGAAUGGGAAUGUCCAAUGGAGACUGCCUUGACUUGCCUCUCAGCAGCCUGUUUGCUAAUCUGGGAACUUACGAACCAAGACUGUUUGGGUUGGGGUGGGAACAGGCGUUGCAUGCUUGUAGCUUGUAUUGGUUUCUCUUUUCAUCUAAUGGCUUUGCUACCAAAGGGUGAUGAGGGGAAGAGUAUACUUAACAUACGUCAGGAAGAUUCACACAUGCCAAGUAUCAGAAUCACCUGGGAUACACUCAGAACCUUCCAAACCAACAGCCAACCUGGGGCUUCCACGGGCCAUACAGACGGUCACAUUCUCCAAAUGUUUCGUAAAAUAUUGUAUUUCUUGCUUAAGAUCAUUUAAAAUGAAGUUUUCAAGGCACCCCCGCAUCUACCUAAGCACGGAGUCAAAUGAGACCUGCAUAAAAGUACUGAUGCGAUAAGCAAAACAGCAUUUAAAGGACCCAACUUUUCCUCAGAACUAGAAAGUUAGCAUGCUCAUUAAAGACUCUGCUUCCUUUAGCUUGUCAAACUGAAGGUCAGAGGUUUUCCUAUAAAUCUGAGUUCUGAAUAAUUCUAAAUCCUGAUAAGCUCUUGGGUAUUUAUUUCAAAAGCAAUAAUAUUUCAUUUUUGUCCGGUAAAAUAAAUGCAACUUUACAGAACAUGGUAAAAGUGGAGGAUAGACAAAGCACGUUAAAUAUUCAGCUACUAUAUACAAUUUCUCCCACAAUUACAUGUUAAAACAUACUUUAUUCAAGUUGCUGUUUAAAUCUAGGCAAAAGUGCUUAAAAAAAUCUUUCACUAUUUACAGUUAAAACCAGACCACAUAAAUGCUCAGGACAUCUUACAGCGACUCUCCGCCAGUGCUUCCAAAAGCUUACAGUAAACACCCAGUGGGUCGGUACUCAGCUCUUACACAAGGCACCUGGAAGCUCAGGAACUUGCCUUUAGCACUGUCAUCUGAUUGUGAAACUUGAUUUGUGAAAACCCACAUCUGAAUAAAACUGCUCAAUAAAUAUCUGAUGUUUAUGUCAGGGCUUGGUGGUCAUUCAGUGUGUGGCCAUCUUCCCCUCUGUGUCCUGAUGAAGCCCCUCCCCCUUCACCACACAUAUCCACGUGAGUAGCUUGAGAUCAUCUCUGCUAAUACCACAGGAAAAACCAACACUCUAAGAAGUCUGACUUGCUGUAGACGAGUGUUGCUUCCACCUGUCGGGCCCAGCCUCUCAACAAUGUCACAAAAAUUAAGCACCACAUUCUCAUUUCAAGGAACUGAACGAAUGCACCAGAAUUUCAGAACGGGUGUGUUAAAGUGGGUGGAGAAGGGAGGAAGGAAAGGAGAAAAUGAUCAAAUGAGAGAAAUGGCACCAAUUAGGGAGGAAAAUCAUAGCAACCUGUUGAAAACGUUUGACUCUUGCACUUUAAAAUUAAGUGUAGGCCCCCCUCCCCAAUAUGACAGCACAGAGGGGGUGGGCUCAGGGUGAGGCAUGCACCAUUGUCCAAUGUGGAAAUCCAGGAGUAAAGAUAGAUGCGUUAACCGCUGUUACACUGGUUUGCUGAGCUCCCGCAGGACGCCACCUGCACAAGAGUCAAGAAAGUCCCAGCACAACACUACAGCACCAGGCUCCGCACAGAGCAACGCUGGUUUUUCACAGCUUGGGUUCAACAACUUCUUGUUUUUAAAGAUACAGUAGCCCUUUUCGGUAUCAGCAUAGACUUUGGGGCAUUUAAAAAACUGCCACUAAGACAAAUUCCUUCAGCUCAGUAUUCAUUGGCUUGUCAACGUGGUGGAGACGGCUCCUAAAAGCCACUCAACUCCAGCUGCAUCGGGAGGUGCUGCCUAGUGAGCCAUGACAUCAUGUGACUUGAUAAAUAACGGACAGAGAGGAUUCAGUGUGGAGACUAGCAAGCUUGAAGCCGUCUACUUCCAACCUGGAUUCUGGGGAGGUCUAUGCCAGCAUCCCAGGGGCCUGGUCUGGGGUGCAUCUGCUCCCCCCAACUCCAAGCCAGUGACUGGAAAAGGGACCCCAGGUGUUUUUCUACAGAUUCUCCCAUCCUCCCGGAGAGGACAGAGGCUGUCCUGAGGCUCCGAUCCCGAAGGGAAGGUGUGUCUGCCGGGAGGGAUGGACUGCUGGGUGGCUACAAUCCGUGCUUGGCUGAGGGGCACAGGGCUGAGAGGAUCUCGUCAGCACCCAGGC